rnacentral:rRNA from 1 species
AUUGAACGCUAGCGGGAUGCUUUACACAUGCAAGUCGAACGGCAGCGCGGACUUCGGUCUGGCGGCGAGUGGCGAACGGGUGAGUAAUGUAUCGGAACGUGCCCAGUAGCGGGGGAUAACUACGCGAAAGCGUAGCUAAUACCGCAUACGCCCUACGGGGGAAAGCAGGGGAUCGUAAGACCUUGCACUAUUGGAGCGGCCGAUAUCGGAUUAGCUAGUUGGUGAGGUAACGGCUCACCAAGGCGACGAUCCGUAGCUGGUUUGAGAGGACGACCAGCCACACUGGGACUGAGACACGGCCCCGACCCCUACGGGAGGCAGCAGGGGGGAAUUUUGGCAAAGGGGGGAAACCCUGACCCAGCCCCCCCGCGUGUGCGAUGAAGGCCUUCGGGUUGUAAAGCACUUUUGGCAGGAAAAAAACGUCGCGGGCUAAUACCCCGGGGAACGGGCGGGACCUGCAAAAGGAACACCGGCGAACUACGU